CAGCCGCCGCGGGAAAACGAGGGGUGCAAGCGUUAUUCGGAUUGAUUGGGUGUAAAGGGUGUGCAGACGGCUUAUUAAGUCACUUGUUAAAUUCUUCGGCCUAACUGAAGGUCUGCAAGUGAUACUGAUGAGCUAGAGGGUGGAAGAGAGAAGUGGAAUUCUCGGAGUAGCGGUAAAAUGCGUAGAUCUCGAGAGGAACACCAAUGGCGAAGGCAGCUUCUUGGUCCAUUCCUGACGUUCAUACACGAAAGCGUGGGGAGCAAACAGGAUUAGAUACCCCCGUAGUCCCUGUCUCUUAUAC
rnacentral:rRNA from 1 species